rnacentral:rRNA from 1 species
UACGUAUGGUGCAAGCGUUAUCCGGAUUUACUGGGUGUAAAGGGAGCGUAGACGGAGAAGCAAGUCUGGAGUGAAAGCCCGGGGCUCAACCCCGGGACUGCUUUGGAAACUGUUUGUCUGGAGUGCCGGAGAGGUAAGCGGAAUUCCUAGUGUAGCGGUGAAAUGCGUAGAUAUUAGGAGGAACACCAGUGGCGAAGGCGGCUUACUGGACGGUAACUGACGUUGAGGCUCGAAAGCGUGGGGAGCAAACAGG